UACGGAGGGUGCAAGCGUUGUUCGGAAUUAUUGGGCGUAAAGGGCAAGUAGGUGGUCUUGUAAGUCUACUGUGAAAUCCCUGGGCUUAACCCAGGAAGUGCGGUGGGUACGGGCAGACUAGAGUGAUGUAGGGGAGACUGGAAUUCCUGGUGUAGCGGUGAAAUGCGCAGAUAUCAGGAGGAACACCAAUGGCGAAGGCAGCUCGCUGGGACGUGACUGACGCUGAGACGCGAAAGCGUGGGGAGCAAACAGG
rnacentral:rRNA from 1 species